CCAGGGCUUGUUUUACAGCCACUGAGAUGCGCUUACUUAUAUUUCAAAGAUCUGGCAAGUGGCAACAGUUUUAAGACCAAGGUAGCUUAAACAAAGUGAAGGUGAUGAAGAGAGUACAACAGGACACUACAUCUUCUCAAGCAGACAGGGAAAUUCAGAGCUCGUCUGGACAGAGAAUACUGUUCACAGCUUGACAGAUUUCAAUCAGCCAAUGCAGAAAGAAGAGACUCACAGCCCGUGGUGAGCUACCAGUAACCAGGGAGGGAAAGGCAGAAUCAAUCCCAGUUUCAGGACAGACAACCGACCUGCGGGAGGCUUGCUUGGAACCACAGUGCAUAUGAUACCUACAGCGAGGACGACAACAAACAGUUCCCGCUUAACCAGUAAAAACAGUCAAUAUUGAGAAAGCACAACCAGACGGCAUUACUUUUUCACGGAUAUGGAUCAGCUCUGAAAUAUGACAU